AAGGUGCCUGCAGUAGGGCAUAACCAGGGCAUCUUGCCUGAGCCCAGUGACCCACCUGCCCUGUCCUUCCAGGGUUCAGUGGUGGGGAGGGCCAAGAUUCCCCCAUGUCCAUGACACAUCAGUGUUUCACAUGGAUCCCAUCACAUGGGUCCAUGGUGGGAGAGCAAUCGUGAGCUGGCAUCCUCCAGCCCCUUCCUGCAUGGAUGAGUGAGGUUCCAUUUGGACACAUGUCCACCUCCUGUCCCCCAGAUGGUGAGACUGGAAGAAAACUUUCAUUGGGCUCGCUGUCCCGGGGCGAGUGGUCAUCAGUCAGGUGACAGCCCUUGGUGUGGUGAAGCUCAGGCUCUUCCUAUUGUCCUGGUCUCCUGCACUGAGCUGUGUGAGCUCUUCUGCCCAGGUGGGCCCCUGGCCUUGAGCAGCAUAGAUGGUGACCCAGGAAGAAGAAUUGCUUUGGGCCCACUUGUCCCCGGGCCAGUGUCCCUCAGCCAGGUGCUCAACCCCUGGUGAGCUGAAGCUCAGGCCCUUCCUAGUGCCCUGGUCUCCUAAACAGAGCUGUGUGAGCUCUUCGGCCCAGGUGGGCCCCCUGACAUUGAUGCGCAUAGAUGAUGACCCUGGAGGAAGACUUGUGUUGGGCUCAAUGUUCAGGCCAGUGGCCCAAAGCCAGGUGCCCGGCCCCUGGUGUGCUGAAGCUUGGGACCUUCCUAGUGACCUGGUCUCCUGCACUGACCUGUGUGAGCUCUUCCACCCAGGCAGGGCACCCUGGCAUUGAGCGGAAUAGAUGUUGAGCCUUGAGGAAGACUUGCAUUGGACCCAUUGGCCCCAGGCCAGCGUCUGUCAGCCAGGGUCCCCCUGGUGCACUGAAGAUGGGGCCCUUCCUGGUGCCCUCGUCUCCUGCAUUGAGCUGUGUGAGCUCUUCUGCCCAGCAGCCUUCCUGGCAGUGACCAGCAUAG